CACCCCAGAUGGGACUGGACAAGAGUGACAGAGUGGACAACCGCUUUUGAGCUGACCAAUGAUCAACACAACCGGGUGGCCACCAUAAAACAAGCUAUCUAUUUACAGGAAAAAAGAAAAGAGCCCAGUGAGGAAUCGGAGACGGUCUGUCCAGUUGUUCCAGGGGACCAAGUUUAUCUGAGGGUAUUCCGGAGAAAAUGGAAUGAGCCCAGGAGAGAAGGACCCUACACAGUGGUGAGAGCUACCCCAACAGCAGUCCAAGUGGAGGGAAGCACAACCUGGUAUCAUCUAAACCACUGUACUAGAGUUCCCACAGGAAAGGCAGAAACAAAGGAAAGCAGACAAUCAGACAAUGCAGGAGAGAGCAAUGAGGAAGAAUCAGAGACACAUGAUGAAGUGCAAACUGACGAGAGCUCUUUCCUCCUGUCAGACAAACUGGAGAGGACAGA